rnacentral:rRNA from 1 species
UACGGAGGGUGCAAGCGUUAAUCGGAAUUAUUGGGCGUAAAGAGUACGUAGGCGGCUUUUCAAGUCGGAUGUGAAAGCCCUGAGCUUAACUCAGGAACUGCAUUCGAAACUGGAUCGCUAGAGUUGAUUAGAGGAUAGUGGAAUUUCAAGUGUAGCGGUGAAAUGCGUAGAUAUUUGAAGGAACACCAAUGGCGAAGGCAGCUAUCUGGAGUCAUACUGACGCUGAGGUACGAAAGCGUGGGGAGCAAAC